GGACUACUGGGGUAUCUAAUCCUGUUUGAUCCCCUUGCUUUCGCGCCUCAGCGUCAGGAAUAAGCUAGAAAACCGCCUUCGCCACCGAUGUUCUUCCACAUAUCUACGCAUUUCACCGCUACUUGUGGAAUUCCGUUUUCUCCGCCUACCCUCUAGUCCUACAGUUUCGGCUGCUAUUCCAAGGUUGAGCCUUGGGAUUUCACAACCGACUUGUAGGCCCGCCUACGCGCCCUAUACGCCCAAUAAUUCCGAUUAAUGCUUGCACCCUACGUAUUACCGCGGCUGCUGGCAC
rnacentral:rRNA from 1 species